GUCAUGGAGGCCGUAUACAUACCUUUUGGUGCAUCGCUUGCACCUGCUUUUAUAGUUGCAAGAUAUAAUUUGCAAUUUCUUUUCCACUGUCCUGCCUUGCUGCAGUGAAAGUAGGUACCCUGUCUGGAGACUUUCUUCCCCUUCUUCUUCAUCUUGCCACCCUUAGGAUUCAGUGCUUUCUUUGAACCCUUAAAACCUAACUUCUUCUUAGAGGUUUUACCCACAAGAAGAAGUGGAGCCUUUUCUUUCUUAAUAUGGCUCUCAGCUAUCUUAAGCAUAUUUAACAACUCAGGUAAGGAGGUAUUCAGUUUGUUCAUAUGAUAGUUCACAACAAACUGAGCGAAUGACUCCGGAAGAGAUUGCAGGAUCAAAUCCUGACUUAAUUAUCCAUCCAUCACAAAAUCAAGUUGACCCAAUCUAGUGAUCAGAUCAAUGACCUUCAGGACA
rnacentral:lncRNA from 1 species